rnacentral:rRNA from 1 species
AUUGAACGCUGGCGGCAGGCCUAACACAUGCAAGUCGAGCGGAUGAAGGGAGCUUGCUCCUGGAUUCAGCGGCGGACGGGUGAGUAAUGCCUAGGAAUCUGCCUGGUAGUGGGGGAUAACGUCCUGAAACGGGCGCUAAUACCGCAUACGUCCUGAGGGAGAAAGUGGGGGGUCUUCGGACCUCACGCUAUCAGAUGAGCCUAGGUCGGAUUAGCUAGUUGGUGGGGUAAAGGCCUACCAAGGCGACGAUCCGUAACUGGUCUGAGAGGAUGAUCAGUCACACUGGAACUGAGACACGGUCCAGACUCCUACGGGAGGCAGCAGUGGGGAAUAUUGGACAAUGGGCGAAAGCCUGAUCCAGCCAUGCCGCGUGUGUGAAGAAGGUCUUCGGAUUGUAAAGCACUUUAAGUUGGGAGGAAGGGCAGUAAGUUAAUACCUUGCUGUUUUGACGUUACCAACAGAAUAAGCACCGGCUAACUUCGUG